GCCCUGAGAUGUACAGCAGGAACUCUGGAGGUUCUCUGAUUGCUGAUGGUACCAGAAUAAAUCAUCGCCAGGAGUAGCAUCUCUAGAGAGCCUGAACUUGGGAGGUGAGCUGGGGUACUGCCGAUACCAGAAGAAGUAUGUUGCUGAAGAGUAGUUGCAGGAGAGAGUCACGCCGUCUCCUUGUAGAGCCUGGACUGGACUGUCCUGGAUUGAGUGGAUGGAUUGCUGAUAACCUGCAUAUGUUAAGAAUGAAAGCUCCACCUCCAGCUAGAGUGGCACCAAGGACUGAAUGAGACAGGAGAAGACCUUCUACUUCACUGUCUCUGUGGAGACUACGAGGACUCAGGAAGAGGAGCGAC